CUCGUCGUAGCUGAAGGAAACGUUGCUGAGGUCCUGGGCAUGGGAAGUCACUUUGUCCAGCAGGUUCACUUCAUCUGCCUGCAGCCCCGAGCCCGUCUCGGGAAGCUCCAGCCCCGCCGCUCCCAGGGGCAGCGCGCAGAGCAGCGCCAGAGCCAGCGCCCCGCAGCGCAUCGUGCGCCCGGUCCCGGCCCCCGGCCCCGCACCCGGCCCCGCACUGCCCCGCUCCGCCCCGCGCUGCGGGACCCCCGCGGGGGAAUGGGGGGGGAGGCGAAGGCGAGAGAAGGGGAGGGGGUGAGGAGGGGCACCCU
rnacentral:lncRNA from 1 species